rnacentral:rRNA from 1 species
AGUCACUGACAUUAGACUACCCCGUAGUCCCAGCCGUAAACAAUGUGCGUUAGGUGUGUCGGUAACCACGUGUUACUGAUGCGCCGAAGAGAAAUCGUGAAACGCACCACCUGGGAAGUACGGUCGCAAGGCUGAAACUUAAAGGAAUUGGCGGGGGAGCACCACAACAGGUGGAGCCUGCGGUUUAAUUGGAUUCAACGCCGGACAUCUCACCGGAUAAGACAGCUGAAUGAUUGUCAAUCUGAAGGUUUUACAUGACUAGCUG